AGCAUAUCAAUAAGCGGAGGAAAAGAAACCAACAGGGAUUGCCUUAGUAACUGCGAGUGAAGCGGCAAAAGCUCAGAUUUGAAACCUGUCGUCUUUGGCGAUCGGAUUGUAAUCUGGAGAGACAUCUUCUGGCGGACAGCCGGUCCAAGUUCCUUGGAACAGGACGUCAGAGAGGGUGAGAAUCCCGUAUCUGGCCGGUUUGUUCCGCCUUGUGAAGUGUCUUCGACGAGUCGAGUUGUUUGGGAAUGCAGCUCAAAAUGGGUGGUAAAUUUCAUCUAAAGCUAAAUAUUGGCGAGAGACCGAUAGCGCACAAGUAGAGUGAUCGAAAGAUGAAAAGCACUUUGAAAAGAGAGUCAAAAAGUACGUGAAAUUGUUGAAAGGGAAGCGCUUGAGACCAGACUCGCGUUGGGGUGAUCAGCGGCGCUUCUGUGCCGUGCACUUGCCCCUCCUCGGGCCAGCAUCGGUUGCGACGGCGGGAUAAAGACCCGAGGAAUGUGGCUCCCCUCGGGGAGUGUUAUAGCCUUGGGUGCAAUGCCGCCUGCCGCGACCGAGGACCGCGCUUCGGCUAGGAUGCUGGCAUAAUGGUCUUCAGCGACCCGUCUUGAAACACGGACCAAGGAGUCUAACAUCUAUGCGAGUGUUCGGGUGUAAAACCCCUGCGCGUAAUGAAAGUGAACGGAGGUGGGAACCCUUCACGGGGUGCACCAUCGACCGAUCCUGAUGUCUUCGGAUGGAUUUGAGUAGGAGCAUAGCUGUUGGGACCCGAAAGAUGGUGAACUAUGCCUGAAUAGGGUGAAGCCAGAGGAAACUCUGGUGGAGGCUCGCAGCGGUUCUGACGUGCAAAUCGAUCGUCAAAUUUGGGUAUAGGGGCGAAAGACUAAUCGAACCAUCUAGUAGCUGGUUCCUGCCGAAGUUUUCCCUCAGGAA
rnacentral:rRNA from 1 species